CCCGCACAUGUUUGAAUAUGAAAAUUACACCAUUUCCCAAGAAAAAAAUACAUAUUGAUUAAAAUAAUAUUCCGUUUUUUAUUCUGUCUGAAACAAAGGGUUCAGUUUAGGUCCAAUAUUAUUAUGUAGGCCUAUGUACAUAAGUAGCCUUGAGCUAUUGUUUGCUAACAAUAUACUUGUUCAGUGUCAUCUUUUUUUUUUAAAACAUCUUGACAUCUGAUAUUUGAGUUUUACACCAUGCAGUCAUCACCUGCACAAGUUUGACCAAAAAGAACAGUUGUGGUAGCCAAUAGGUACAGGACAGAUACAUAUGGUGAUGGGCAUCUAUCGAUUGCAUGUGAUGAGAAAACAAACUGCUAUAUAUAGUUGAAGUCGGAAGUUUACAUACACCUUAGCCAGAUACAUUUAAACUCCGUUUUUCCUGACAUUUAAGCCUAGUAAAAAAAUCAACACUUUAUGAUCAACACUUUAUUUUAAGAAUGUGAAAUGUGAGAAUAAUAGUAGAGAGAAUUAUUUAUUUCAGAUAUGAUUUCUUUCAUUACAUUCCCAGUGGGUCAGAAGUUUACAAACACUAAUUUAGUAUUUGGUAGCAUAGCCUUCAAAUUGUUUAACUUGGGUCAAACGUUUCAGGUAGCCUUCCACAAGCUUCCCACAUUAAGUUGGGUGAAUUUUGGCCCAUUCCUCCUGACAGAGCUGGUGUAACUGAGUCAGGUUGUAGGCCUCCUUGCUCGCACACGCUUUUUCAGUUCUGCCCACACAUUUUCUAUGGGAUUGAGGUCAGGGCUUUGUGAUGGCAACUCUUAAUACCUUGACUUUGUUGUCCUUUAGCCAUUUUGCCACAACUUUGGAAAUAUGCUUGGGGUCAUUGUCCAUUGGGAAGACCCAUUUGCGACCAAGCUUUAACUUCCUGACUGAUGUCUUGAGAUGUUGCUUUGAUAUAUCCACAUAAUUUUCCAGUCUCAUGAUGCGAUCUAUUUUGUGAAGUGCACCAGUCCCUCCUGCAGCAAAGCACCCCCACAACAUGAUGCUGCCACCCCCGUACUUCACGGUUGGGAUGAUAUUCUUCGGCUUGCAAGCCUCCCCCUUUUCCCCUCCAAACAUAACGAUGGCCAUUAUGGCCAAACAGUUCUAUUUUUGAUUCAUCAGACCAGAGGACAUUUCUCCCAAAAAAUCUUUGUCCCCAUGUGCAGUUGCAAACCGGUGUCUGGCUUUUUUAAUGGCGGUUUUGGAGCAGUGGCUUCUUCCUUGCUGAGUGGCCUUUCAGGUUAUAUCAAUAUAGGACUCAUUUUACUGUGGAUAUAGAUACUUUUGUACCUGUUUCCUCCAGCAUGAGUGUGACACCAAAGUACAUUAACCUCUAUGAGACAGAACGCAUGUCCUUCCUGAGCGGUAUGACGGCUGCGUGGUCCCAUGGUGUUUAUACUUGUGUACUAUUGUUUGUACAGAUGAACGUGGUACAUUCAGGCGUUUGGAAAUUGCUCCCAAGGAUGAACCAGACUUGUGGAGGUCUACAAUUUUUUUUUCUGAAGUUUUGGCUGAUUUCUUUUGAUUUCCCCAGGAUGUCGAGCAAAGACGCACUGUGUUUGAAAGUAGGCCUUGAAAUACAUCCACAGGUACACCUCCAAUUGACUCAAAUGAUGUCAAUUAGCCUAUCAGAAGCUUCUAAAGCCAUGACAUAAUUUUAUAGAAUUUUCCAAGCUGUUUAAAAGCACAGUCAACUCAGUGCAUGUAAACUUUUGACCCACUGGAAUUGUGAUACAGUAAGUUAAAAGUGAAAUAAUCUGUCUGUAAACAAUUGUUGGAAAAAUUUGUGCAAGACUUGUGUCUUGCACAAAGUAGAUGUCCUAACCGACUUGCCAAAACAAUAGUUUGUUAACAAGAGAUUUGUGGAGUGGUUGAAAAACAAGUUAAUGACUCCAACCUAAGUGUAUGUAAACUUCCGACUUCAACUGUAUAGCUUCUCUUUAACCGUGGAAAACCGUCUGAUCAACAUGUUCCCGUCUCAGUCACGAAACACUUGCAGUGCAUUGUUGCCUCAGAAACACAAUCAUACAAAGAGUUAGGCCUUCUAACAGUGCCCAAAGACACUUGGAGAGAGAGAGAGAGAGAGAGACAGAGGCAGCGAGAGAGGCGAUCAGAUAAAUUAAAUUAAAAACAGGAAAUGACAUUUAGCUCAGUAUUUUGACAGAAGACAGCAGUCAUCAUUCAGUCAUCAUGAUAAUUAAUACCUUAAGGACAUGUAACGGUUUUCAUAUAGUGGUGAUGAAGGAGAGUCGGACCAAACUGCAGCGUGUCGAUUGCGAUCCAUGUUUAAUAUAACAAAGAAACACGAACUUACAAAAAACAAUAAACGAAACAGCCUAUCUGGUGCAAACUAACAAAGAGUACACAUAGGACACUAAGGACAAUCACCCACGACAAACUCAAAGAAUAUGGCUGCCUAAAUAUGGUUCCCAAUCAGAGACAACGAUAAGCACCUGCCUCUGAUUGAGAACCACUCCAGACAGCCAUAGACCUUGCUAGACAACCCACUAAGCUACAAUCCCAAUACCACCACCAAAACCCCAAGACAAACACACCACAAUUACAAAAACCCCAUGCCACACCCUGGCCUGACCAAAUACAUAAAGAUAAACACAAAAUACUUUGACCAGGGCGUGACAGAAC
ensembl:lncRNA